rnacentral:rRNA from 1 species
GAUGAACGCUGGCGGCGUGCCAAUACAUGCAAGUCGAGCGAACAGACGAGGAGCUUGCUCCUCUGACGUUAGCGGCGGACGGGUGAGUAACACGUGGAUAACCUACCUAUAAGACUGGGAUAACUUCGGGAAACCGGAGCUAAUACCGGAUAAUAUAUUGAACCGUAUGGUUCAAUAGUGAAAGACGGUUUUGCUGUCACUUAUAGAUGGAUCCGCGCCGCAUUAGCUAGUUGGUAAGGUAACGGCUUACCAAGGCAACGAUGCGUAGCCGACCUGAGAGGGUGAUCGGCCACACUGGAACUGAGACACGGUCCAGACUCCUACGGGAGGCAGCAGUAGGGAAUCUUCCGCAAUGGGCGAAAGCUUGACGGAGCAACGCCGCGUGAGUGAUGAAGGUCUUCGGAUCGUAAAACUCUGUUAUUAGGGAAGAACAAAUGUGUAAGUAACUAUGCACGUCUUGACGGUACCUAAUCAGAAAGCCACGGCUAACUACGUG